rnacentral:lncRNA from 1 species
CCAAGAGGGCACAGCGAUGGUAAAAUUACCUGCGGGUUCCAUCAUAAAAUAUAAACAUGUGAUGUUUGCACCCUCAGCACCUCGGAGUCUGAUCAGCUACCGAGAUGUGUAUAUUAAUGGUUAUCACCUCUCAACCGCCACUUUAAAUACAAAAGAAGUUUUGGUUCUUGCGAAGAACCAUAAAGUUGUUGAAAAAGCUU